rnacentral:ncRNA from 1 species
GGGUUACGGUGCCCAACUACGCGCUAACCUAGACCCCACAAAGGGUGUUGGUCGAUUAAGACAACAGGACGGUGGUCAUGGAAGUCGAAAUCUGCUAAGGAGUGUGUAACAACUCACCUGCCGAAUCAACUAGCCCCGAAAAUGGAUGGCGCUAAAGCGCACGACCUAUACCAGACCGUCGGGGCAAGGGACAGGCCCCGAUG